UACACCGGUUCCCAUGCGAUAACUGAAGUUAAGCACAGACGAGACUGGUCAGUACCUAGAUGGGUGACUUCCUGGGAAUACCAGGUGCU